GUUUGAGAUGGCCUCUCGCCCUAUUCAGUGUAACAGCUGUGGUAGUGGGUUUGGUCGCUCGCAUUUAAAUUGGAAGGGUAAUGGUGGACCGCACUUCUCCCUUAGUAGGACGUUGCGACCUGUCAAAUAAUAUCCUAAGUAUUUGGCUAAUUUGUCUGUUUUUAGGCAGUACUGAAAGGUAUUUCCUUUAACAGUUUUAGCCGUUUAGAUACUGGAUAUAAUUGACAGUAACGAAUCAUGGUGUUGAGCCACUUACUUUGUAAGUGUCCUUUAUGGCUGUUUGCAAGUGGGUUGGUUAAUUAGUUUUAGUCGGAUUUCGGUCCGUCUAACUAUUCCGCCUACUGUUGGUAAA
rnacentral:rRNA from 1 species